rnacentral:rRNA from 1 species
AUGGCGAUGGCGCAGACCGACGCGCGACCAACCCUCGGCACCUCCCUGCCGUGGCUCGGACCGGCCACCGCGUCGCCGAUCCAGCUACCCGUAUUCUGGGCGUGUAGCGUCCCCGUCGCUGCUUGCGGCUGUGGUUGGUCGCCGACGGCGGUGGCCGUGGGCGUGCGGCGCAGGGAUGGCAUGCCGAAGCUCAGGACAGUAAAAAACUUGAACCAGCAGAGGAGAAAACAGGGGCUUGGCAUCAAGGAGUUGAAGUUGAUGGUGCCAGACGGCGCGUCGGGGCUGGAGGUGUUCGCGGCCAACUCCAACUUAGUUCUUCAGCAGCUGGGACUGCGGUCGCUUUCCUCUCCAUCAACAGCAGGCAAGCAUUGUUCCAUCGACACGUCCACCUCUCGGGGCAUAAAGGCAAACCAUCCCUUCAGCGGACACAGCAACAAUAAAAGAAAAACACGGCUUCAACGGAGAAAUAAGAUGAAGACUCAUAGUGUCCUUGGGCAAGUCCUCAGAGAAGUUUCUGAUAUAUGUAGACCGAGCGGGCUCUCAAACACACACAUGGAGGUAAUAUUUUCUGCUGCUAUGGGUGAGCUUGCCAGUAGAUCCAUAUCUUUCCUGGUGGACAGAUACCUGAAGCAGCGGUCAGCGGAGGCAACCGAGGAGGAGAGGCUGCACGGCCUGCAACGGCUGCUACUGCGGCUUCAUGUCGUCGUCGAGGAGGCAGAUGACCGGCUCAUUACAAACCAGGCCAUGCUGCAUCAACUCAGCAUACUGAGACAGGAGAUGUACAUGGGGUAUUACACCCUCGAUAUGUUCAGUUGCGGAGCACAUGAAGAUAACAGGUCAAAAGAUUACUCUUUUGCCCCAUCUAAGUUCAACCCUGCAAAGCGUGUAUGCUUCUGCAAUGCCAACAAUGAUGGUGCAGCACAAGCUGAGCUGCUGGAGCAAGUUCUUGGCAGCAUAAGGAACACCAUUGAAGAUGUGAAUGAGUUCAUCAUAUUUCUAAACAGUUACCCACGUCUGCACCGUCAACCGUACAACAUGUAUCUGCUGCUGGACAAAUGCAUGUUUGGACGACAAAUGGAGAUGGAACUUGUGAUGAACUUCCUGUUGCAAUCACAGACUGCUCCUGGUGCUGCUGAUCAUUUGGCUGUCUUGCCAAUCGUCGGUCCCAGGAAAGUUGGAAAGAGCACCCUGGUCGAGCAUGUAUGCAACGAUGAAAGGGUCCGCAACCACUUCUCUCAAAUUUUGUUUUUCAAUGGGGAUCAUCUUAAAGAUGCAAUUGUAGAGACCCUAAGAGAUGGAGGUAGAAUCAAGCAUCAAAACGGUGGGAUGGGCGGUGGAAGGACAUUGAUCAUCAUUGAGCUUCUUCUGGAUAUUGAGGAGCCUGUAUGGAAGAGGUUGUAUUCAGCUGCGAAAAGUCGCAUCACGAGUGGAAGUAAGAUGAUAAUUGUGAGCCGCUCUGACAAGAUCGCAAGCUUUGGAACCACGGAAUCCCUCACAUUACAGUUCUUAACUCAAGAAGCAUACCUGUACUUCUUCAAGGUGCGUUCCUUUGGUAGCACGAGAGCAGAGGACCACCCGAAGCUCGCAUCAAUGGCCAUGGAGAUGGCCAAUUUGACGAGUGGGUGCUUCAUGUCUGCAAACAUCAUGGUGGAGCCAACAUAUCUCAGGAGGGUGAAUAAAUGUGUCGUGUUGUUUCUUGACUACGAGACAUGUUCUGCUGAAACUGGACCUGAAGCUCGGAGGAUGAUGAGCGCGCAAGAUCUUCUCUUUGGAAGUGUGAGGCUUCGAGGGAAAUUCAAGGUCCAUGCAUGGACAUCCCACCUGCCGCCUCACUACAGCUACAUCGUUCAGUGUGAGGUACAGAGGCCACAUCGCAUGGUCACAAUAUUUGUCGACGCCAAACACGUCAAAGCUGCAGAGGAGACCUACCCAUGGCGGCAGCCACUGACCAUCCCUACCAUCCUUCCACUGCGGCGACGUGCUCCGCAGAGCCUGUGGUUGGCCGACGGCAGUCGUUGUAGCAGCACGGCACAUGGAGGGAGGGGAGGCACGAAGGCUGGUGCUCCUGUGCUCCCUCUGAGUUCUCCUUUUUCGGUUUUUGAGUCUGAACUGGUUCCGGUUUUUUCAGAUUCAGAUCCUGACAAAAGCUCUGCACUUGGCACGGCUGCUACUCAAGUUUGUAGUGCCAUCCACCUCCUCGUAAAGCAGCAAAUGCUCAUGGCAAUCAUGAUUCCGCUAGCUCUGGUGCUGCUGUUACAGUUCCCACCGGUUUUCUUCACGGGACCCAGUGUUCAGGGCCUCUCGACAGGAACCAAUCCUCAAUUCCCUGUUAGUUGCUCCUGCUCCAGGAUUCACCCUCGUUGCCUUCUUGACGUGGCUUGGACUGACCAGGCUGUUAACAACCUCCUAGGGCAUCACAUGCUCUGGGAGUAUAGUAUUGUUGGUUGA